UGAGGAAUAUUGGGCAAUGCCCGCAAGGGUGACCCAGCAACGCCGCGUGGAGGAUGAAUGUCGUAAGAUUGUAAACUCCUGUUAGAGGGGAAGAACAGUACCGGUUGGACCGGUAUAUGACUGUACCCUCAGAGAAAGCCCCGGCUAACUACGUGCCAGCAGCCGCGGUAAUACGUAGGGGGCAAGCGUUGUCCGGAUUUACUGGGUGUAAAGGGCGCGCAGGCGGGAUAAAAAGUCAGUGGUGAAAUCCUACAGCUUAACUGUAGAACUGCCUUUGAUACUUUUAUUCUUGAGUUCGGGAGAGAGAGACGGAAUUCCAGGUGUAGUGGUGAAAUACGUAGAUAUCUGGAAGAACACCAGUUGCGAAGGCGGUCUCUUGGUCCGACACUGACGCUGAGGCGCGAAAGCGUGGGGAGCAAACA
rnacentral:rRNA from 1 species